rnacentral:misc_RNA from 1 species
UGUGUUUUGGUGGUGGCUUCUCUCCCUUUUCUUUUCCCUUGUGCAAAUCCUCAGUUACUUCUUCCUCAGUUAGAAGAUGUCCAUGAUGUCCAUGAUGUGGCUUAUGUUUUGGUGGUGGUUUAUAUCCCUUACCCUUAUGGUCUUCCUCCACGACAUCCUCAACUUCCAAAAGGCUUCUAUGUCCUGGUGGAGGCUUAUGUGUGGUGGUUUGUGAUGAGGUGGAGGUCUGUAUUCAGGUGGUGGUUUCUCUCCCUUGCCUUUUGGAGGUCCAUGAAAGUCCUCUACAUU